CUUUCCUGAGCCAGAAAGAGGACAGCUAAAAGAGUAUAUGAUAUCCUUUUUAUUCCCAUGCAGAUGUCUGAGGCUUCUUUUUCCUUUGGUCAAAUCUGAUUUUUAUUUCUUCUUAGUUAAUACCCCCAGAGCACUGCAGCCUUCUUUCUGCCUG
rfam:Tursiops truncatus cont1.417854, whole genome shotgun sequence.